rnacentral:rRNA from 1 species
CCCUUAGAUGUUCUGGGCCGCACGCGUGCUACACUGAGUGGAUCAGCGGGUCAGGUUGCGCGAAAGUGUUUCCUAAUCUUGAAAUCCGCUCGUGAUGGGGAUUGACGGUUGCAAUUUUCCGUCAUGAACGAGGAAUACCUUGUAAGCGCGGGUCAUCAUCCCGCGCUGAAUACGUCCCUGCCCUUUGUACACACCGCCCGUCGCUACUACCGAUUGAAUGGUUUAGUGAGAUCCUUGGAUCGGCCCUGUCGCGGCUGGCAACGGCCGCGUCGGCGCGUCGAGAAGACGAUCAAACUUGAUCAUUUAGAGGAAGUAAAAGUCGUAACA